GCCUUCGUAGAUCAGCGCUAGAUCACCUCCGCUCGAUACGAGAUUGGCCGGAUGUGCCCACUCCGGAGGAGACGCGGGUUCAAAUCCCGCCGAAGGCA